rnacentral:rRNA from 1 species
UACGGGGGGGGGCAAGCGUUUGUUCGGAAUUACUGGGCGUAAAGGGCUCGUAGGCGGCCAACUAAGUCAGACGUGAAAUCCCCCGGCUUAACCAGGGAACUGCGUCUGAUACUGGAUGGCUUGAGUUUGGGAGAGGGAUGCGGAAUUCCAGGUGUAGCGGUGAAAUGCGUAGAUAUCUGGAGGAACACCGGUGGCGAAGGCGACAUCCUGGACCAACACUGACGCUGAGUGAGCGAAAGCCAGGGGAGCAAACGGG